rnacentral:ncRNA from 5 species
GCCGGAAUAGCUCAGUUGGUAGAGC